ACAGAACUGUGAUCUCAAAGAACUUGCAUAUUAUAAUUAUAAAUAAAGAAUAUAUAUAUUUUUUGUUUUUUUAAUAAUGUGACAUUUUACCCAUUGGGGGGGUGUUAAAACCCUAUUCGUGAGUAUUUGCACUCGAAAGGGCUAUGAUUGUGGUGAAUAAUCAGACAUAGUACGAUAAGGUUGUAUGUCUAAAGGGAAACAGCCCAGAACAAGAGUUAAUAAGGUUCCAAAAUUAUGGUUAAGUGAAAAUAAGGUAGUGUUUAUCUUAUUCGACUAGGAAAUAGGCUUGGAAGCUGCCAUUUUUUGAAGAUCUCGUAAAAGAGCACUAGUUUGUUAAAUGGAUAAUUGCACCAAAAAUUUAACGGAUCUAAACUAUAUACCGAUACCUUGUACAUAAAUAGUUAUAUGUCUUAGAGAUAUAUAAUAUAUAUGGGGUAGCAGAACGUAGGGCAAAUAUUAGAUUAUUUCUUUUUAAGAACUAAAAUUAUAUUACCCUAGUGAUAAUGCUGACAUGAGUAACGAUAAAGGGAAAUAGUUUAGUGUUUACACUAAACUAAUAAAAUAAUUCCCUCGCCUAAAGCUUAUGGUAUUCUAUUAAAGUAACGGCCUCUAAGUUUAUUAUUGGUUUAACAAAUCCUAAAGGACUAAACGAUGAGUAAAUCUUUAUGUUUAUAUAAAUAACCUUAAGUAUAAAAAAAAAUAUUUUUGUAUAAAAAUGUUCAUUAGAUCAUUCAGUGAUCCACGUCUGCGCUUUCACAUAUAAAUUUACCAGCAACAGAUUAAUAUGUUGCUGAGGUUUCACGAGGUGUUGGCCGCGCUGUAAACCGCGUUUGCGAUUUUUAUAUAUAAAAGAUAUUUUUUUUAUAAGUGACAAAGGUUCUGGAAAAUAUUAUAUUAUACAACCGUACCUAGAUACUACCCCAAGUAAGUUAG
rnacentral:rRNA from 1 species